GGGCAACCUAGGUACAAAUGUGAACCAUUAGCGCAGCAAGAUAGUGGUGAAGAGAGAAAACAAAACCGGGAAAGCAGCUGGCAAGAGUUUACAAACCCUGCCUGCUCCGGAGCCAACACGUCACUUCCUCAGUGAUGAUUCAGCUGGGACCUACUGACUGAUGCGGAGGGCAGUGUCUACCAGCUCAUUCUCCUAUGUAGCAUCGGGCUGAAUAAUCUUGGGGCUCUUCGAUUCCAACUCACCUGGCUGUCAGUGUGUGUGACAUCCCCCACUAAGGAAUUCAACUUCCCUGGCUUCCAGAGGCCUCCAGUCCACCUGCCCUCUGGGUAGAUUUUCCCUGCCGUCCAUCUUGCUAGGACAACCUUCCAUGGUGGAAGCAUGGCCAUAAUACAGACCUACCUCAAAGAGAAGCCUAAACUUCUGGUCAGACAUUUUAAAAAUUACAUUUUAUUAAUUGAGUGUGGUUUUGUUUUCUGUUUUUUGUUUUUGUUUC